AGCCACUCUGUCCUUAUAGCCUAAGAUUAUGUGGUUUAGGUAUAGAUGAGUAUAGGAUAGACCUGUGCAUGUUAGAAAGGCUGUGCUGGAAACAAAGAGUGCUAGGGAUGAUGCAUUGGAAACACUGGAAGACCCAAAGCUUUCAUCUGCUAGUCAGAACAUCAGAUAAACUGCAUCUCCAAGUUUGGAGCGAAGAUGAUUGACUGGGAAAU
rnacentral:lncRNA from 1 species